rnacentral:rRNA from 1 species
GAUGAACGCUGGCGGCGUGCCUAAUACAUGCCAGUCGAGCGAACAGACGAGGAGCUUGCUCCUCUGACGUUAGCGGCGGACGGGUGAGUAACACGUGGAUAACCUACCUAUAAGACUGGGAUAACUUCGGGAAACCGGAGCUAAUACCGGAUAAUAUAUUGAACCGCAUGGUUCAAUAGUGAAAGACGGUUUUGCUGUCACUUAUAGAUGGAUCCGCGCCGCAUUAGCUAGUUGGUAAGGUAACGGCUUACCAAGGCGACGAUGCGUAGCUGACCUGAGAGGGUGAUCGGCCACACUGGAACUGAGACACGGUCCAGACUCCUACGGGAGGCAGCAGUAGGGAAUCUUCCGCAAUGGGCGAAAGCCUGACGGAGCAACGCCGCGUGAGUGAUGAAGGUCUUCGGAUCGUAAAACUCUGUUAUUAGGGAAGAACAAAUGUGUAAGUAACUAUGCACGUCUUGACGGUACCUAAUCAGAAAGCCACGGCUAACUACGUG